GUUUGCUUCCCAGCCUUCUUCUUCACCUGUAGCUUCUUCAACAAUGGAUUUUUUUGCUGCAUCAGAUCCUGUUGUUCAGCCUGAUGUCAGAUCUCCAAAACUAGUCCAGAUAAAUACUACUACGGUCGAUCCAUUUGCUACAGUUCCACUAAAUAACUUCGACAGUUCUGAUCCUUUUGGUGCAUUUGUUUCUCCUGCUGAUCCUAUAUCAGUACCCAAUGCAAGUGCCACCAGUGGUGGGAAUCAGCAGACUCCUACCAAAUUAGACAAAUCUCCUCUCGAAACAAAGCCCUCACCAAAGAAG
rnacentral:misc_RNA from 1 species